UAGCGAUAUUACAGUUAUUGUCUUAUACUCAUAUACUCAACCACCCUUUUUUCUCCUAACAACAACCUUUUCCCCAUUUCCCACUUUCUCUUUCUAUAUAAAUUUUUCUUGCCUUUGUUUGCUUCUAUAAUAUAGAGAUGACAGAUUCUAAUAGAAGUGAAGAGUUUUCUGUCUGCUCUCAAAAUCAUGAGGACCAUAAACGUGCAUUUUUUGAUUCCGCAGACUGGGCCUUGUGCAAGCAAGGUGUAGGAGUUAGUCAAAAUUCAACAGUAGCUAUAGAGACAUUGAGCCCAAAGUUACAGGAGGCUUUAAUUAGCCCUCUACAAUUCCAUGUAAAGAUUAUUAUAGAUAACAAUAUCAAGGAUAGGUGCGCUCAGGGCGGAUCAAGCGUAGCGGUGGUGGGUUCAUCAGUGGUGUAAGCAACAAUUUUCGUAAGCGGUGUCAAUAUUUGAAGAAAUAAACAAAUGAACAAAUUACUGUAAUGGCAAGCAAUGUCAUUUCUUAUAUUUAUCCAAUAUUUUAAUUUUAUGAAUUAUUUAUAAAUAUAGAUUAUGCCUAUCGUAAACAACUUCUAUGCCUUUAUAUGGUAGGGGUAAUGUUGCGUACACACUAACCUCCCCAGAUUCCACUUACAGAAUUAAGCUGGAUUUUUUAUUGUUGUUGUUGUUGUUAUUGUUGUUAUGUAUAUAGAUUAUGAAAAAAAAUUGGCGAAGCGGUGUCACGUGACACCGCUUCAAACAAGGUACCUACGCCUAUCGGGUUCAUCUGAACCUAGUAUUUUUGACACGGAGAAUAGAGUUAUGUAUAAAAAUUAUCUAAAAUAAGAACAAACAACAUAUAUAGACCCAUAACUUUAACAAUAUAAUGAGUUCGAACCCAUAGAAUUCAAAUCAUUGAUCUGCGGUGUGCGUAUAACCCCUAGUUGGGUGUGACCCAACCAUGCAUCUUCCCAAAAUCUGGUUUAUCAUCACUUUGGCAAAUGAAGUGAAGGAGUUUAGGAUAAAAGCUAUGUGAAAAAAAUGUGGUUAAUGAAUUAGAUACUUGGGCUAAUUCCGGUAAAGGGAAUAUUUGUAGCCAUUGCAGGUAUACCUAUUACCUUCAAAAUAAACAUAUUAUAUAGUUAGCAAAAAAGAUACUAAAGAAUAAUAAUGCAAGUGUCUUAUUAUGUAGUAGUAAUUUGGCUAGACUUGGUAAUGUAAAUGUCCUUAGUGACACUCUUGUGGAUAUUGUAUAGUCUGCAAUCUAAUAUUAAAAUCUUCACUGAGUAAUUUAAAAUCCUGGAUCUAAUUCUUGUUUAAACAAAAGUAAUUAUCUCGGGAUAAAAAUUUAGUAUCGUUUUAUUCCUUAUUUGGUUAUUAAUCAUGGGAUAAGCUAUCACACGAUUAAAAAUAUUAUUGGGAUAACUUAUUCGUGCCAGAAGGUGAAAUAAUAAUCCUAGGAUAAAACAGUAAUUUGACAGAUUAAUACUACAUACCAAACAGUCAAUAAGAAAUAAUAUCAGGAUAAUCAAUAUCAGCAUAACUAAUUCCAGCAUAAUUCGUCUAAGGUUGUAGUGCAACGAAUGGAACUUAACACUGCCCUCAAAUGGUGUAUGGUUCAAAUACAAGAACCUUUCUCUCUUCUUGUUUUCUCUUUAUCUAUUCACAUGUAUGUCACUUCUCCGGGUUUUUUUCCUUUCUUUAAAAGAAUGGUCAUAUCAGUCAUUCGGCGGAUUGCUCUUACUCUAAUCCUUUUCUUCAUUAAUAAGUUUAGGUGAUAACACCAAUGGGACUAAUCCUUUGUUUAUGUUUUCUUGUGAAUUUUCUGGCAAAUGAUGGACAUUAAGGAUAGGACCUUAUCUGGAAAUGAUAUAGUUAAGAAGAUCUGCCACCUGAUUCUGCUCCCGUUGGCAGAGGCGGAGCCAAAAUUUGAAGUUUAUGCGUUCGGGAUCAGAGGCGGAGCUAGAAUUCGAAGUGUGUGAGUUCUAAAUUUUAAAAAACUGUUUUCAGCGAGAAUUGAACCUCCAUCUUUCUAAGCGAACUCACAACCCUUACCAUUGAACCAAGACUCCUUUUGUUACUGGGUUCGGCAGUAUAUAUUUAUAUAGAUUUAGUAAAUAUUUCAAUACAAUUAUAGGGUUCCGAAAAAUAUCAUUGGGUUCGCCCGAACCUGCACCCACUACUGUAGCUCCGCCCCUGUUCGGGAUAUUAGUCUGUUUAAGUUAUUGAGUUCUAAAUUAAUAAUUUGUUUAUAUUUAAUGAAUUUCUUAAGACAAAUACAUAGUUUGAACAAAAACUACUCAGUUCGGCCGAACCCAUGUCUACCAUGAUAGCUCCGCCCGUGCCCGUUAGUUAUGCUUAAGCCUGGCCAUCAAUGACCUGCAUGUAAUAAUAAUAGUAUUUUAAGGCAAGUGACCAUUUUUUAUCAUUUAUAUGACCUCCAUUUAAUCUGUGGAGAUUUGUAGAGGCUAAGGUUAUGCUCCAAGCUAAGGCUAAUUAACUACAGUUUCUAUCAAUAUGCUCCAAGAUUUUAAGGUUGCUGCUUCACCAUUCCAGAAUUUUCAUUUCUGAAUUUCAAUAGAAGCUUAUUACUACCACAAUUCCUAUGUUGAUUAAGAAAAACUUUUUUUAUUCUUUUUGAACAAAAUGA